rnacentral:lncRNA from 1 species
GCCACGCUACAUCACAACGGCAGGAUCUCAGGGGGCAUUACUUUUUACGUGGAUCAUAAAGCAGUGGUUUGAAUACCAUACUUUUUCUUUUUCUUCAAUUUUGAAUCAAUCAAUACUCAUCUUUAUUUUCUUACUUAGCAGUAGCAUAUUGAGGAAACCUGGACUCCGGUCUUUUGAGUUUUUCCCUCUUAGUGCUCAUCCAAAAUAUUUGGUCAUUACAAUUUGUAAGAUAUCUUGCAAUUUUUAGCCUUGAUUCUGAUGCCUCCCUUGCAUGUGGAGAUAUAUUAAUAAGGGAAAACUCUUUAAAUUCAUUGACCUAAUUUUAGUGAGAUGCGCGUGCUAAGUUGUUGCGUCAGUUAUGAGGAUGGGGCAUUACAAAAAAUUUCUUUAGUAUUGUUUCUUAAAAGUUUUUUUGAGCAAAAGUUAAAAUUUUUUUCUUCUACUGGUUAAAAAAUACUUUGCAACAUUUUUAAAAAGCACAAAAAUAUUUUAAAAAAAUACAAAAACAUCUUAUUUAAUAAUGUUUUUACCUGAAAGGUAUAUUAAACUGAUCCGAGGAUGUUGGUGAUUGUCAAAGCCAGGCACGCGCUGCAGAAACAAGUGGGCUAGUUGGAUUUCAUCUCCAGUUCCAUGGUGGUUGACCCGAAUGCCAGGUGACGGACAUAUAUUUGUCGGUAUUCCCUCUACCACAGCCUGGAUUUAUGGAUGAUUUUUGAGGUCCC